AGGCUUGUCCGCGCGUUGUUCUCCGGCCCAGGAGAGGGGCUUUAAGGUUCCGCUUGCCGGCAGGAGGCGGUUUUUCAGCGAAGCUGGGGGUUGGGGCUGCUUGAAGGAAAAGUUGUUUCGGAAAGUAUCGGAUAAACCUGGAACAUCUUGUUGUACCAGCAUCUCCCGGGGUCUGUGUGGUGACUCUGCGCCUCUUGCCCCCACCGUGCUAGUUCUCCUCCUCCUCUCAGAACAAAUCAACCUCAACAUCUGGCGCCCAACGUGACUGAAGGAGAAAGUGUCAGACUUGGCGAGAACCCCCCUUGAUUUUGGCAAGAAGAUCCUGUGUGUGGACAGCAGUGAGAAUAAACCAGUGAAACCCCGGCCCCAACCUUUCCACGGAGGAGGUGGACAGAUGGCAGUGUGGCCUCGUUUGUUGCUGAUUCUGGAGCAAGUAGGCGGGUCCUCUCCGUGUGCCUUCAGGAGGCUGAGUUCAGUGUUGGGAUGCCAAGAAAACAGGUUUGCACCUGCAUGGGAGACCCGGAAGAAGCUCAUGACUCCUGGCUUUGGAUCGUCCCAGCUCCAGCUGUUGCGGCCAUCUGGGGAGUGAACCAGUGGAUGGAAGACCUCUCUCUCUCUCUCUCUCUCUCUCUCUCUCUCCCUCUCCCUCUCCCUCUCCCUCUCCCUCUCCCUCUCUCUGUCUGUAACUCUACAUCUCAAAUAAAAUCUCUUAAAAAACAAAGAUGCCUCUUAGGAUGCUUGCAUCCUAUAUCAGGGUGCGUAGGUUCGAAUCCUGGCUCGGGCUUCCAACUCCAGCUUCCUGUGAUUGUGCAGGUGAUGGCUCUAGUCCUCAGCUCCUUGCCGCUCUCGUGGGAAACCCAGAUUGAAUUGUCAGCUGCUGGCUUCGGUCUGGCCAAGCCCUGGCUGCCGCAGGUAUUUGGGGAGUGAACCAGCUGAUGGGAAUGAACCCUCUGUCUCUUAAAUAAAUACAUUUUUUAAAUUAUUCAUUCUUCAUCUUAGAUUAAAAAUACUGCUUUGGGCCGGCGC